rnacentral:other from 1 species
UCCUGAAUUACACGUAAGUACUCUUCUAGACAUUACAGUUUUGACCGAACAACAAUUAAAAGGGAGUUCAAAUUUUAACUUGGCAAACAAGCCCUGGACGCUGAGGGAAGUUUAAAAAGUUAAUGAGAGCACCCACCUGCAAGGGUAGUGGGUUCAAAACAACAAGGGUUACGGUAUUAUCGGGAU